rnacentral:rRNA from 1 species
GACAGAGGGUGCAAACGUUUGUUCGGAAUUACUGGGCGUAAAGCGCGUGUAGGCGGCUAAGUAAGUCGGGCGUGAAAUCCCACGGCUCAACCGUGGAAGUGCACUCGAAACUGCAUAGCUAGAGUCCUGGAGAGGAAGGUGGAAUGCUUGGUGUAGAGGUGAAAUUCGUAGAUAUCAAGCGGAACACCGGUGGCGAAGGCGGCCUUCUGGACAGUGACUGACGCUGAGACGCGAAAGCGUGGGGGAGCAAACAGGGAU